GGAAGGGCCAUAGUUCAGUGAUAAGAGUAUCAACUUCAAAAGCAGAAGGUCUCAGGUCCAAUCCCUGGCAUUUCCA